rnacentral:rRNA from 1 species
AGCGAACGCUGGCGGCGUGCCUACACAUGCCAGUCGAACGUGAAAGGGAGCAAUCCCAAGUAAAGUGGCGUACGGGUGAGUAACACAUAGGUAAUCUACCCCCAGAAUCUGGAAUAACCGGCCGAAAGGCUGGCUAAUACUGGAUAGAGCGACGGAAUCCGUAAUUGGGUUUUUCGGGAAAGGGAGCCUGUAAAAAGGCCUUCGUUCUGGGAUGAGCCUGCGUCCCAUCAGCUAGUUGGUGAGGUAAAAGCUUACCAAGGCAAUGACGGGUAGCUGGUCUGAGAGGACGAUCAGCCACACUGGAACUGAAACACGGUCCAGACUCCUACGGGAGGCAGCAGUGGGGAAUCUUGCGCAAUGGACGAAAGUCUGACGCAGCAACGCCGCGUGAGUGAAGAAGGCCUUCGGGUUGUAAAGCUCUGUCGAGUGGGACGAAAAUGCUUGGAGUUCACAGCUCCAGGAACUGACGGUACCACUAAAGGAAGCACCGGCUAACUCCGUG